GAUGAAGAACGUAGCGAAAUGCGAUACGUAAUGUGAAUUGCAGAAUUCAGUGAAUCAUCGAAUCUCUGAACGCAUAUUGCGCUCUCUGGUAUUCCGGAGAGCAUGCUUGUUUGAGUAUCAGUAAACACCUCAACUCUUUUUUCUUUUUUGAAAUUGGAGCUGGACUUGAGUGAUCCCAACGCUUUCUUCCAAGAAAGUGGCGGGUUGCUUGAAAUGCAGGUGCAGCUGAACUUUUCUCUGAGCUAUAAGCAUAUCUAUUUAGUCUGCCUAAAAAACAGAUUAUUACCUUUGCUGCAGCUAACAUAAAGGAGACUAGUUCUUGUGCUGACUGAUGCAGGAUUCACAGAGACAGCUUCGGCUGACUUUGUAAACUCGAUCUCAAAUCAAGUAAGACUACCCGCUGAACUUAAGCAUAUCAAUAAGCGGAGGA
rnacentral:misc_RNA from 1 species